GAACAACCCUAACUCACUGCUCUAAAGUAGCUCCUGUAACAAAUUAUGAAUUUUAAUUGACUUAGAAUCAGUUUUCAUUGUCCACAAUUGGUGCAGUAGAUCCCUAGAAUUUUAGGUUCAGUGUCUUUGUGUUUCUGUUGCAUCCCAUAUUUUCCAUUUUAGAUGCAAUUUUCAGAUUAAAUUCAAUUUGGAGCUGUAUUACUUCAUGUUGAUUUUUCUCAUUUAUCACAAGAUUAUUUUGUAUUCUCACUUCUUUGUGUCCCAUAUGCUAGAUACUCUGAACUGAUGCCUCCUCCUACCUUGCUAGAUGCUGUCAUUGCACUAAUUCCUUCACUCAUCCUCUUGUAUCCUCUGUAAUUAUUUAGCAAUUAUAUUUCAGUUCACCUCCUCUCUGCUGGUUUGGUAUCAUGAACCUGGCGAUGUCAUUACUGGUGCUUCUCUGUCGUGAUUUAUUCUGAGAUUCGUCAUUUAUGCAUUGUUUUGACCAAGUUCACAAAUGUUCUGUCUUACUAUAGUAUUGAACACUGAAAUAUGGGUGAGUGCGAAAGUACAUGUUCAGCUACUGUAUGGAAAAGCUUUUCAGCAAAUGAAGUGCCAGAAAGUUAAUCUGUUUGAAAGUUAAGAAUUCCUGGAAAUGAUAUGUUAUUCGUGUUCCAAUAGAAGACAUAAUUAUUGAAUGUCUUGUUUCUUGUAAACUUGUCAAUGAAAGGCUAAAAUGUUUUCAUAAUAUUUUGUAUAACUCUUUGUUGUUUAACACUUUCAUUAAGGCAUAUGAAAAUGUUCAUUAACUUCAGAAAGGGGUAUUUUGGUGGCUUGGUUAUCAUGAACUGAAGCAAAUACUGGAAAGUGCCUUCUGUGCAUUUCACUUCUAUAAACAAAGCUUGUUUACCCAUGUGUAUCAUCUCAGUUUAUGUGGGCAUAACAAAGUUGUCAAGAUUUACUGUAAAGCAUCCCAGGUAAAACACUGAGGCAGUGAUUAAAAGUUGCUAUGCUGAUGCCUUGGCAUGUGUUCCAGAGUGUGCAGUUGUAGGAACAGCGGCAACGUAUUUCCCCAUCUCUCUUAGGUAACUGGUACCCAUGUAGAUGUGUAUUUAACAUCACCAUCCAAGGGACAUAUAGACAGCAGUAAAGCAACGGUUAAAAGAAACAAAAUAGAAGAAUUACUGCAUCUUCUUAGCAGGUGAGGAGCAGCAUUUUGCCCUCAUGGUACAGUUACUGCUCAUGAAUUUUAAGGCGGGAGGAACUGAAUUUGAUUAACCGGAACUUCAGAGAAUUCUGCCAGGCUGCAAAUGCUUAGAUGUAACAAACAAGAUAAAUUUGCUUUUAAUAGCAUGUACAUAUUUUGCUGAUCAAAUCUAGGCUGCUAUUAUAGUUCUCUGAUUUCAUCUAGAUGGCAGGAACAUCAGAUUUACACUGGAGAACUGCUUAAUACCUCAUUCUCCAAUUUGUUUAGUAUUUUCUCUAAUAUCACUUACUUUAUUUUUCACUCAUAUUUAAACAAAUAUCUGUGCAGUCUUUACAUAUAAAGGUCUUACCUUAUUCCUCGUCUGCUGGGUUUCACAGACAGGAUGAAAAAGAACAUCUCUAAUUACAGCAGCUACACUGGCACUUUGAACUGCGUAACUGCAGCUUCCCUUGGAGAAGAUGUGUGUUUUGAAGAACACGGAAGCAUAAUUUUUCCAGUUAAAAAAUAGAAGGAGAUUAUUUUUAACUAAAAAGGUAAAGUACAAGUUACAAAAGCCUCCAUUGCUAAGAGCAGGCAGAAUCAUUUUUUAGUCUGUUAUUCAGCCUUAGUAAAGCUGACCAGCUCCACACUACAGCUAGUCCUUUAUCAUUUUCAGCUGCAGUGAAGAAUAUUAACCUUUAUGCGUGCAUACUACCCAGCACCAUAAUAGAACAUGGGAAGGCCUUGACCUUUGAACUUUUUGCUCCAAUGUGUAAAAACCACGAUGUACUUUUCUGAAGCCUUGUUUCUUAAAUUAGAACAUUUGUGUUUUAAAAACAUUCCAUUUGCUACCAUGUAAAAUUGCAGAUCUAAGGUUCACUUUUCAUGCUGCUGCCUUGGCAAAAGGUGGUAGGAGCUUUUGUUCUUCUUUCCUGCAUGUGCUUCUGGAAAUCCAAAUAAUUUUUGUCUUUGUCAUGAAAAAGAAAAGAAGCCUGCUGCAGUCUGCUUUGGUUUUAAUAAAGUGUACUCAGUAGCAAAGUGCAUUUUUGGUUUUGUUUGGUUUGAUGCUCCCUUUGAUGUUGGCAUAUGUAUAUAUUUAGAUAUACUGCACUGUUGUACAAGAAUUGUUUUAGUAAAUAACACUAUUUGUAAAAACUGUUAAUUGUUUUUGGUAUGAAUGCAAAAUAUUAAAGUUGGAGUAUUUA
ensembl:lncRNA